UGCGCCGUUUACCCCAUCUCUUUGCACUUUCUCUUGCAAUUUCUUCCAUUCCUCUUGCUUUCAGAAAAACCUUACUUGCCUGCAAUCAAAACCAAAGCUUAUCCAUCCAAUCUGAAAUCAUCCAUUAGUUCUCUCAGGUUUCGUAUUGCAGCUCCAUAUUCUGAAACCUGCAAAUCUCAACAUAUAUCUGCCUUCAUUUCUUCACAGACCCAAGCCCAACUCACCUAUUUCAGCUGUCUCGGUUUGCCGACGCACAAAGGUAAGAUGCAUCGUUUAAUACCCUGAAAAUUUUAAAUAUAUGAAUAUGUGGAGAAAAUAAAAAAUAAAUCGAUUUAUGAUUAUGAAGAAUUAAAUCGAGAAUAUUAUUGAGCUUUUAUAUGAUUUUUCAAGAAUUUAUAAUAAUUUGUGUAAGUUUAGUUUUAAAUUAAACUAGUUACGAGGUUUAAAGUUUGGACCUUAAUUAUUUAAAAUACGUAGACCUUUCGAGGUCAAAAAUUAUAUUUUUGAAUAGAGCUCGACCUUACGAACGCGUAGGUGCAAACCGUUCGUAAAACGGAGUUAGAAUGAAGAAGUUAUUAACGUUUAAAGUUGGGGGCAUUUUAGUAAAAUAGUUGAGUUCAAGAUAACUCCAGAUUUUUGAAGAAAAAUCUGGAAGGCCACGUGUGUGGCCGAGAUUUAAAGACAGAAAAGAUGGGCAGUGGAGAUGGAUUAUAGAGAGAAAGGAAGGAGGAGAAAAUGAGGAGAGAGGAGGAUGACCAAUGGGUGAAGAGAGAAAGGAGGGAAAGGAGAGAAUGAGAAUGGAGAGGAACCUGCCGGGUUUCCUUGUCCCGCGGACCCGGUUGCAACCCAUAGGGUUCUCCGAUGAAAUUCAUCCUUUUUCCGAUGGAUUGGGCCGAUAUAACCCUCUAAAUCAUCAUAUAUACCUUCCCUCUACCAUCUCCAUAGCAAAUUUGAGACGAUUGGGUUCAGAAUUUUGGAAGAAAGGAACUCGUGGGUAUCGUAUGACCCGUGGUCGAAAUCCAGCAAAUCAGAAACGGUUUCAUUAAAUUAACACCACCAUUAGACUCUCCAUGAACCAAGAAACAAAUCUCAUUCAUUGGUUGGGUCGUCGGAGUUGCUAUGGAGUCGAAUUGAGGACACCCAAAUUCUAAGGUUCCGACAGGUUUUGAUGAAAUUGGAGCCUUUCCAGGAAACAUUGGCCUUGGUUGCAGCAUACAAACACAGAAAAAAAUGGGGCCGUACUGAUCGUCGCCGGCCGUGGCGGUUCUCCUCCUCAUGAUCUUCAUUGUCUCAUCGGCCCUCGACAUGUCCAUCAUCUCAUACGAUAACAACCUCGGAGACAGCAAGUCCAUAGGUAGCUGGAGGACCGACGAUGAGGUGAUGUUGAUUUACGAGGGGUGGCUGGCGGAGCAUGGCAAGGCAUACAACGCCCUGGGAGAGAAGGAGCGGUAGUUCCAGAUCUUUAAAGACAACCUCAGGUAUAUCGACGAACAGAACUCCAAGAACCUCAAGGAUCAGGAGGCGUCGGAGGCGCGACGGAGAGUGAUGGAGGUGGAGAUUGCGGUGAGGCGGUGUAGGUGGAGAUUGCAGAAAAAAAAUUAAAAAAGCCCACGACGUCACGCUGGCGUCAUACGGGCCGGCUCACGCCUCUGUCGAUUUUAGGCUGGCCUGGAGACUAGCUUGGGCUGGGUGCCGGUCAAAAUGCUGGGCUGGAGUGGUUUCACUGGGUGCCGGGCUAGUAUUUUGGCUGGGUGCUGGCCUUUCUCACCCCCGGUGGACUUGCUCUUAGAUGCAGCCAUAAAAUAAAUGUGUUUAAAUAUUCGAGAAUUAGUAUAUAGAUGGAAAUUGAUCCAAGAGAAGAAAAAUCAAUUAGCUAUGUUCUAGGUUGGGCCUACCAUAAUUAUUUUUCGAAAUAUACAAAUAUUUCAGAGCAGGGGCGUUACACAUCGAUCUCGUUUCCUUAUUAAUUUCUUAAUUCUAGCACAAAUGCAAUAGUGAAAUCCGAGCCUAGUAUGUGAGCUUAUGUUGUAGACAACGACCAGAGAUGAUGGCGAACACAAGGAACGAUAGCAAUGUCAAACUUUAGAUCUGCAAGAAAAAUGAGCAGCGGCAACCACGAUGUCCACAAAUCUCAUAAAUAUAUGUAUAAAUGCUCAACCCAGAAUGAGCAUGGUCUCUGCAUCCAUAUAUCUGAUAGUCUCCAUUACGCUCAUGUAUUUUGAGGAAGAUGAAGUUGUUUGUGAGUAGCAAGUCUGGGAUGAGGUGCAAGUUUUUUGAGGAAGAUGAAGUUGUCAACAAAUGUUUGUUGUUUCUUUUACUUUAUUUUUCAGAUUUGGUUUGGCCUGGUGUAAACAUUCAAGUAAAUUCAAUGUAUUCAAGUAAAUUUAAAAUAAUAAUGGAUGAAGAAUGGAUUUGUCAA